rnacentral:sRNA from 1 species
GUGCUUUCAGAUUCUUCUUGACAAAAAUGCACUGUGACAGAUCCAGUGAACAUCCAGGAGUGGUUGCAGCUGACUAUGUAUUCCUGAGUGGAAGUCACAGACCUGCCGCCUCACUGCUCACUGUGGAGCCUUGAACCUGAUCCUGUCUGCAGCCACGUUUUUACGGUCAUGUCCUGCUACCCAGAGGCCUUCCUUUUCCCUAUGCUGGUACCCAGCUUCCCAGUCGGCAGCCAGAGCUCAACGUGCCCCAGCUUGCUGCACCCUGAGUUCCCCUGGCUCUGAGACAAGCUAGCUUGCUCUGCCGAAGUGUCACCCCACCCCAGCACACCCAGUCCGCACCCUCUGUGACCUCCAUCCUGUCUGUGUGCCAAGCCUAGCACUCCUAUUGCUUCCAUGUCCCAAGGGCCCUGUCUCAGUUCUGGGAGGAUCACGCCUGUCCCUACACACCUUGUUACACACUCACACAGUUACCUCCCAGGCAGCCAAAUAAACUCCAGGCCAUCCAGUGCCACACACCCUAGUGCCUAUGCCUGCACUGUUUUCCCCCUGCACAGCUGUCGGGCCCAAGAGGAAAUAAACUCUCCAUUCGCUGCUUCCUUCA